rnacentral:tRNA from 1 species
GCUCUCGUAGCUCAGCUGGAUAGAGCGUUUGCCUCCGGAGCAAAAGGCCAGAGGUUCGAAUCCUCUCGAGAGUA